rnacentral:rRNA from 1 species
CCUACGGGGGGCAGCAGUGAGGAAUAUUGGUCAAUGGGCGAGAGCCUGAACCAGCCACGUCGCGUGAAGGAUGAAGGAUCUAUGGUUUGUACACUUCUUUUCUAUGGGAAUAAAGUGAGGAACGUGUUCCUUUUUGUAUGUACCAUAUGCAUAAGCAUAGGCUAACUCCGUGCCAGAAGCCGCGGUAAUACGGAGGAUGCGAGCGUUACCCGGAUUUAUUGGGUUUAACGGGUGCGUAGGUGGUUAAUUAAGUCAUCGGUGAAAGUUAUUGGCUCAACAAUAAAAUUGCCGUUGAAACUGGUUGACUUGAGUAUAUUUGAGGUAGGCGGAAUGCGUGGUGUAGCGGUGAAAUGCAUAGAGAUCACGCAGAACUCCGAUUGCGAAGGCAGCUUACUAAACUAUAACUGACACUGAAGCACGAAAGCGUGGGGAUCAAACAGGAUUAGAUACCCUAGUAGUC